rnacentral:rRNA from 1 species
CACGUAGGGCGCGAGCGUUGUCCGGAAUUAUUGGGCGUAAAGAGCUCGUAGGCGGCCUGUUGCGUCCGCUGUGAAAGCCCGGGGCUUAACCCCGGGUCGGCAGUGGAUACGGGCAGGCUAGAGGUAGGUAGGGGAGAAUGGAAUUCCCGGUGUAGCGGUGAAAUGCGCAGAUAUCGGGAGGAACACCGGUGGCGAAGGCGAUUCUCUGGGCCUUACCUGACGCUGAGGAGCGAAAGCGUGGGGAGCGAACAGG